CUGCAACUCGCCUGCACGAAGUCGGAAUUGCUAGUAAUCGUAGGUCAGCAUACUACGGUGAAUACGUUCCCGGGCCUUGUACACACCGCCCGUCACACCAUGGGAGUCGGAAAUGCCCGAAGUCUGUGACCCAACCUUAGGGAGGGAGCAGCCGAAGGCAGGUCGGAUGACUGGGGUGAAGUCGUAACAAGGUACC
rnacentral:rRNA from 1 species